CGCGUAGGUGGUUAUUUAAGUUAGAUGUGAAAUCCCUGGGCUUAACCUAGGAACUGCAUUUAAUACUGGAUGACUAGAGUACAGGAGAGGGCAGUGGAAUUUCCGGUGUAGCGGUGAAAUGCGUAGAUAUCGGAAGGAACACCAGUGGCGAAGGCGACUGCCUGGCCUGAUACUGACACUGAGGCGCGAAAGCGUGGGUAGCGAACA
rnacentral:rRNA from 1 species